GUAAUCUCUCCAAAUCAGCGCCGGUUGAAAUAGACAAAACCAAAUUUUGAUGGCUCCUUUUCUGAUUUUAAGUGAAUUUGAAAACAAAAAUCAGAAAACUUAACAUUUGUUGAUUAUACAUAGAGUAUAUUACCAUCAAAAGAAUUAUAAAUGGAUGGACGAAAGCAAUUAAUGGCUUUCAAAUGUCACUUGUGAGGUCAAGAAGAUGGCAACAUUGCUGCGCUCGAUUUUAUGCGAUAGCUGCAAUCUGGGAGUUUGUCGUGGAGCAUUGGACUGUGGGCGAUGUGUUGUUUGGAAUUUUAACAACACAACACGAAUAGGAUCAGUUACAGCCAGAAUUUCAUGGGCAGUUCAGUGCAGUGCACCAUCAUGCAUCACGAUUCUUCUGUGGGUAUCGAAGUUUAGAAAAGAUGGCUCUGUUGUUAACAUGAAACCGUCAUUUUGCCAUACUAUAGACUCCAGCAAUGUGUGAAGUUCAGGUGCAGUUCAAUGGGGAUCACCUGAAAGACGUUAUUUUUAAAGUAGACAAAUUCAUAGACAUAUAAGCAGUCUUCAUGUGGUAUCUUUAUGUAUCAUUCUUUGUGAAUACAUCAUUAAAGGAUCCUUCAGACGUUCUACUGUCGUUUUAUUUCAUCUGGAAAACCGUCAAGUGUUUCUGCCCAUCCUUAUAUUAUAACAUCAGAAAAGCCAAAACGCGUAUGAACAAACAG
rnacentral:lncRNA from 1 species